rnacentral:rRNA from 1 species
UACGUAGGGGGCAAGCGUUGUCCGGAAUUAUUGGGCGUAAAGAGCGUGUAGGCGGUCCGGUAAGUCAGCUGUGAAAGUCAAGGGCUCAACCCUUGAAAGCCGGUUGAUACUGUCGGGCUAGAGUCCGGAAGAGGCGAGUGGAAUUCCCGGUGUAGCGGUGAAAUGCGCAGAUAUCAGGAAGAACACCCGUGGCGAAGGCGGUUCUCUGGGACGGUACUGACGCUGAGACGCGAAAGCGUGGGGAGCGAACAGG